rnacentral:rRNA from 1 species
UACGGACGGGGCAAGCGUUGUUCGGAAUCAUUGGGCGUAAAGGGCGCGUAGGUGGUUCUGUAUGUCUAUCGUGAAAGCGUACGGCUCAACCGUAUUUUGUCGGUAGAAACUGCAGGACUUGAGGCUGGGAGGGGCUGGUGGAAUUCCCUGUGUAGCGGUGAAAUGCGUAGAGAUGGGGGAGAACACUCGUGGCGAAGGCGGCCAGCUAGACCAGUUCUGACACUGAGGCGCGACAGCGUGGGGAGCAAACAGG